rnacentral:rRNA from 1 species
AACGAACGCUGGCGGCAGGCUUAACACAUGCAAGUCGAACGGGUGUAGCAAUACAUCAGUGGCAGACGGGUGAGUAACACGUGGGAACCUUCCUAGGGGUACGGAACAACUCAGGGAAACUUGAGCUAAUACCGUAUACGUCCGUAAGGAGAAAGAUUCAUCGCCCCUAGACGGGCCCGCGUCGGAUUAGGUAGUUGGUGGGGUAACGGCCUACCAAGCCUACGAUCCGUAGCUGAUCUGAGAGGANGAUCAGCCACACUGGGACUGAGACACGGCCCAGACUCCUACGGGAGGCAGCAGUGGGGAAUCUUGGACAAUGGGCGCAAGCCUGAUCCAGCCAUGCCGCGUGA